CGUGCCUCUAGUGGAUGCUGAUAAGGCUCUGGGCCCCCUCUCCAGGUACAGUCGUCUGGGCCAGGUUUUGUUCUGGGGCAGUUUGGGCCAAGGUUCCCGUGGUCACAGAUGUGGUGACAGAUGGUCGUGGGUGUGUGGAGGCUGCUUGGGUUCUCCAGGGCUUGGUGGGUGGGGGUGAGGCAACAGGAUGUUCCUCCCAGGGCAAGGUCCUAGAGAGCUGAGCCCUCUAACUGGGAACCCAAAGGCUUACCUCGCCAGGGGCAGUCUGGGACACGCUGUUCUCCUCCUAUUUAUAUGCUUUUCCUGCCAGCCCCUCCCUACUAUUCUUACUCCUGCCUCGCUAUUGGCUGUUCAGCUCUUUAUUAGACCUUCAGGCGUUUUAGACAGGCAAAGAAUCACAGCUUCACAGAGUUAAACAAAUAUAGCAUAAACAAAAGUCACACACCUUAAAAUAGUAUUUCCCAACACCCCCAAUACAUCAGCCUUCUGUCUUCAACUCUCUCUCUUUCCCCCCCUUGCCCUCUGUUUUCCCCCUCCCUCUUCCUCUCCCCCCUCUUAACUUACUGAAUCUAGGUGGCGCUGCCUGCUGGAAAGCUGACUAAGCAUGUGCAUGGUGACAUGAUCUUGUUUGGGUCUUGGACAAGGGACCACAGCUUCAGCGAGUUGGGCCACCCGGGAGUGCUGGCAGCCAUUAAGCCUGGGCAUCUUUUAAUUCGGUCUGAUUUGGUCUGAUUGGAAUUAUUUGCAUUGGCAGAGAGAACGACAAAAAGAAACCUGGUGCCAGGUCAAAGCAGAGCUUCUGGAUGGCAGCAAGAAUCUCAUUGUGUCCCGAGAUGAGGGUCAAUGACAAGUUUGAGCGACGAUUAAAACAAUGGACCCCACUGAAAUGGGAACUUCCUUAGGAAUCUCGUGCCAACCGGAAUCCUGGAAAGAGAUCUCCUACAGUUCUAACGCUGUAGGUCACCUCACCGGCUAUGCCUGAAGCCCAGACAAUGAGGGUCAGCAGUGGGCAGGACCACACCAUGACAGCAGUUGCUUAGAGAUGCACAUCCCUCUCUAUUUAAACUAUGACCUCACUUCUGGUCUGGAAGGUGGACUAGAUCUUUUAUUCCCUCUUCCCAUUGCCACUAUACUGAAUAAAGCUCUCCUUUCUACUUUUGCUGUUUUAAUUGGCUUAAGACUGAGUAGCUCAAUUUGGCUUCUUGAGUACAGUCUGUGACUCCCCCCAAGUUUUGUAGCACCUCAGCCUCCAUGUCUCAGAUGCUAGAAUAGCAGGUAUGUGCCACCAUUGUAGGGAAUCCAGCAGAGAUGACUGUUCACACUUGGGUUUAAGCUAAUAGAGAGUCUUUAUUCAGCAGGUGGUGACUACACUGGAUGUUCAGGACACCAGCAUAUCCCUAAUCCUUUCUCAGGGUGGGAUUUAAGCACA